rnacentral:rRNA from 1 species
UACGUAGGGCGCAAGCGUUGUCCGGAAUUAUUGGGCGUAAAGAGCUCGUAGGCGGUUUGUCGCGUCUGCCGUGAAAGCCCGGGGCUCAACUCCGGAUCUGCGGUGGGUACGGGCAGACUAGAGUGAUGUAGGGGAGACUGGAAUUCCUGGUGUAGCGGUGAAAUGCGCAGAUAUCAGGAGGAACACCGAUGGCGAAGGCAGGUCUCUGGGCAGUAACUGACGCUGAGGAGCGAAAGCAUGGGGAGCGAACAGG